GGUUCCAUAGUGUAGUGGUUAACAGAUCUGCUUUACUCGCAGAAGGUCCUAGGUUUGCACCUCAGUGGAGUCA
rnacentral:tRNA from 1 species